rnacentral:rRNA from 1 species
GACGAACGCUGGCGGCGUGCCUAACACAUGCAAGUCGAACGGGAGCAAGUGCUUCGGUAUUUUGCUUUAGUGGCGAACGGGUGAGUAACGCGUGAAUAACCUGCCUUUCAGUGGGGGACGAACAGUCGGAAACGACUGCUAAUACCGCAUGACGCUUCUUGGGGGCGAUCCCUGAGAAGUCAAAGCUUUAUGUGCUGAAAGAUGGAUUCGCGUCUGAUUAGCUAGUUGGUGAGGUAACGGCUCACCAAGGCGACGAUCAGUAGCCGGUCUGAGAGGAUGAACGGCCACAUUGGGACUGAGAUACGGCCCAG